AAAAAAAUAGCUGUGCGUGGUGGCGGGUGCCUGUACUCCCAGCUACUGGGGAGGCUGAGGCAGGAGAAUGGCAAGAACCCGGGAGGUGGAGCUUGCAGUGAGCAGACAUCGCACUACUGCACUCCAGCCUGGGUGACAGAGCGAGACUCCGUCUCAAAAUAAAUAAAUAAAUAAAUAAAUAUUACGUAAACUGAGAAAAUGAGUAUAACAAGAGUAGUAUUGUUGUUUCUCUGAUAAAUAAACUAAAUAUGUUGGAAAAAUGAGAAACUCAACAGUUGCUGUCAGCUUAACUGUUGGCAAGACAACUAGAAACAAAUGGGAAAAAUUGUGUAAUCUAGGAUUUCAGAUUGCUUUACCCCAGUUGUCUUCACAGAAAGUGAACAAGAAAUCAAUGACAACAUAUCAUUGGCAUAGUUUCCACAAGAAACUCCACUCUGAAUCCGUGCAAGGGUUUGACCUUGUCAUCAAAAUUCUGGCAAAUUUAUUUACACAUGUCUUUUAAAUUAAAGUUAAGUUUUAAGGACUUACAUCUAAUACUUCUUAUGAUUCCUCCAGCUAACUUAAAUUUGUGAUUAAUCUGUUUAUUACUGGUCCCAAUCUGAUUGAAUAAGGGGGUUUCUACCGUUUUUGCUAACCAAAAGUUUACUUUGAUGAAGAUGGAAUUAUAAAUACAAUAAUUCAAGUUUAAAUAAUUAGAAUGGUAAUGGGUAAUACAAUUUAGUAUGCCUAAAAAUCACUUGAAAAGCUUACUAACAAUGUAAAUUCUCGUGCCUUAGGCCUGAGAUUUUGAUUCAAUAGGUCUAGCAUGGGGCAUAGGAAUCUGUAUUUUUAGGAAUGAUAAAGGAAAAUUGCUUAAAAUAGGGUAAAUUAUAACUUACAAAUAUAAAAUGAACACUUGUCUAGGAUUUUCGUUUAAUGAAGGAGCCAGUAAGAUGUUAUACUGAGUUUUACGGAAAAUUAAAAGAGCCACACAUAUCUAGGCACUAAGGAACACUGAAAUAAAUUUGCUUGAUAGGUUCAAAACUGAAUUCUUGAUGGAAGGUGGGAAAAGGAAAAUUAAUUAUACUUCCACCAAAAUCAAUCAUUUGCCUGUCUAUAAACAUGAAUAUUUGCAUUACUAUCAGUAAUCUACAACUAACAGAAUUGCAAAUAACAAAGAAAACAAAAGGCACAGAGACCCCAUAGAAACAGAUAACUCAGGUUAUUCUAGACAAGGCUGAGAUUUCCAUUAAAGACACUCAGUGGUAAUUUCGUUGGUCCAUCUUAAAAUCUUUCCAUUUUCUCCUGAAACAAAUUGCUCAAGCAAUUCAAAUACAAUGAAUGUGGUCAGUGGGUCACACCUGGAAAAAUCAUUUUCUAACCUGUAAUCAAGACUGAAUUACUCCCUUCACUGGAAAGAAUAAAAUAUUACCACAUAAAUUCAUAUUAUGAUAAUGGCCCACUAUGAAUGCUUUGGUGUUCUUAAUUUUCUUAAGAUUUAUUAAUAUUUCUGAAGUAACUACUAAAUGCCAAGCAAUAUAUUUUCUAAUUUAAUCUUUCAUUGACUUUUACUUUCACUUCAAUUGAGCUACUCACUUUCAUGGCUAUAAACUUAACUUUUCAAUCACUUAAAAAUUGAUUUCUAAUGUUAUAAACUUUAAUGUCCCACUCUGUGACCUGCUCUUUCAGACUCUCUCUUCCUUACUGCCAAUUCACCUUCUCUUCUAUCUCUUCCAGUGCCUCAGUAUCUUGACUCUUCCAUUUUCUUUUUUCUUUGCUUUUAUUAAGUGGAUACAUGAUAAUUUCACAUGUUGAUGGGGUACAAUGUGGUAUUUUGAUACAUGAUGCAUUGUUAAAACCUCUCCUCCCUAUCUUUCCCAGUCUGGCAACCACUCUUCUACUCUUUAUUAGAUCAGUGUUUCUGGUAACCACUCUUCUACUCUUUAUUAGAUCAGUGUUUUUAGAUUUCACAUAUAAAUGAGAUCAUGUGAUAUUUGUCUUACCGUGGUUAGCUUAUUUCACUUACCACAAUGUCGUCUAUGCUCAUUCAUGUUGUCACAAGUGACACGAUUUUACCCUUUAUUAUGGCCAAAUGUGCAUAUGAUAUAGUUUGGAUAUUUGUCCUGACCCAUAUCUCAUGUUAUAUUGUAAUCCCCACUGUUAGAGAUGGGGCCUGGUAGGGGGUGUUUGGGUCAUGGAGGUGGAUCCCUCAUGGCUUGGUGCUAUCCUCAUGAUAGUGAACGAGUUCCCAAGCUUCCUGACUAGUCAAGCAGAUGUUGGCAUUAUGCUCCCUGUACAGCCCAUGGAGCCAGGAGCCAAUUAUGUCUCUCUUCUUAUAAAUUAUCCAAUCUCAGGUAUUUCUUUAUUUUUGCAAUGCAAGAAUGACCAAAUACAGCAUAUAUGCCACAUUUUCUUUCUCCAUUCAUUCAUUGAUGGACACUUAGGUUGAUUCUAGGCUAUUGUGAAUAGUGCUGUAAUAAACAUGAGAGUCCAGAAAUCUCUUUGACAUACUGAUUUAAUAUUCUUUGAAUAUAUACCCAGUAGUGGGAUUGCUGGAUUAUGUGAUAAGUCUAUUUUUAAUGUUUUUGGAAGUUAUAUUGUAUUCCAUAACAAUUGCUCUAAUUUACAUUUCCACCAACAGUGUAUGAACAUUCCCCUUUCUUCACAUCCUUGCCAGCAUUUGUUAUUUUUUGACUUUUUCAUAAAAAGCAUUCUAAGCAGGGUGAGAUGAUAUCUCACUGUGGAUUUGGCUUGCAUUUCUCUGAUUAUUAGUGAUGGUGAGCAUUUUUUCAUAUACCUGUUGGUGAUUUUUUUGUCUUAUUUGGAGAAAUGUCUAUUCAGCUAUCUUGACUGUUUUCUAAUCCAAUUAUUUGUAUUUUUGCUAUUGAGUUGUUUGAGUUUUCUAUAAAUUUGGGGUAUUAACCCCUUAUGAAGUGAAUAGUUUGCAGAUAUUUUCUCCCAUUUUGUAGGUUGUCUCUUCACUCUCAUGAUUGUGUCCUAUGCAGUGCAGAAGUUUUUAUUUGGUGUUAUCCCAUUUGUUUACUUUUGCUUUUGUUGUGCAUGUCUUUUGAUGUCUUUUCUAAAAAGUCCUUGCCCAGACCAAUGACAUAUAACAUUUCACCUAUGUUUUCUUCUACUAGUUUCAUAGUUUGGGGGCCUUACAUUUAAAUAUUUAAUUUAUUUUGAGUUGAUUUUUUUAUAUGAUGAGAGAUAGGGGUCUACUUUCAUUCUUUUGUAUGUGGAUAUGCACUUUUCCCUGAACCAUUUGUUGAAAAGACUGUCUUUUCCCAAUUGAAUGUUUGCACCUUUGUCUAAAAUAAGUUGCAUGUAAAUAUGUGCAUUUAUGCCUGAGCUCUCUAUUUUUGUUCCACUGGUCUACAUGUCUGUUUUUAUGCCAAUACCAUGCUGUUUUAGUUAGGAUAGCUUUGUAAUAUAUUUUGAAAUUAGAUAGUGUAAUACCUCUAGCAUUGCUCUUUUUGCUUAAGAUUUAUUUGGCUAUUUGGGGUGUUUUGUAGUUUCACAUGGAUUUUAAGAUAUUUUUUAAUAUCUGUGAAGAAUGAAGUUGGAAAUUUGAUAGAGAUUAUAUUGGAUUUAUAGAUUGAUUUGAGUAGUAUGGUCAUUUCAACAAUAUUAAUUCUUCUAGUCCAUGAACAUGGGAUAUCUUUCUAUUUAUUUUAAUUCUUUAAAUUGUUUUUAUCAAUGUUUAAUAAUUUUCAUCUUUCUGUGGCUUAAUUUACUUAUAGGUAUUUUGGUUUUUUAUAGCUAUUUUAAAUGGGAUUAUUUUCUUGAUUCCUUUUUCAGAUAGUCUGCUAUUGUUGUAGAGAUGUUACUGAUUUUUUAUGUAGCUUUUGUAUCCUGAAACCUUAUUAUAUUCACUUACUAUUUCUGAUUCUCAGUGGUGUACUUAGGGUUUUUUACAUAUGUGAUCAUGUCAUCUGCAAAGAGGGACAAUUUGACUUUUUUUUCCAAUUUGGAUGCCUUUUAUUUCUUUCUCUUACAUAAUUGUUAUGACUAGGACUUCCAGUACUAUGUUGAAAAAAGUGAUUAAAGUGAACAUCCUUGUCUUGUUCCAGAUCCUAGAGGCAAAGCUUUCAAGUUUUCACCAUUCAGUAUAAUGUUGCCUGUGGGUUAUCACAUAUGGUCUUUAUUUUAUUAUGUUCUUUUAUAACUAAUUUGUUAAAAGGUUUGAUCAUAAAAGGAUGUCUAAUUUUGUCAAAUGCUUUUUUCUGCAUCUAUUGAAAUUAUUAUAUGCUUUUUAUCCUUCUUUGUUUAAUGUGAUGUAUCACAUUUUAUUGAUUUACAUGUAUUAGACUAUCCUUACCUCCCCGGGUAAAUACCACUUGAUUAUGGUGAAUAAUCUUUUUAAUGUGCUUUUGAAUUAUCAUUGCUAGAACUGCUGGUUUUGAAUGUUUGCAUCUAUGUUUAUCAAUGAUAUUGGCCUGGAGUUUACAAAGAGUUCCCUCCUUUUCAUUUUUUUGAAAUAGUUUGUAAAUAAUUUGUAUAAGUUUUUAAAAUGUUUUGUAGAAUUUGUCAGCAAAAACCACCAAGUCAUGAAUUUUUCUUUCUUCCUCUAUUUUUUUAGAGACAGGGUCUCACUCUAUCACUGAGGCUGGCAUACAGUGGUGCAGUCAUAGCUGACUGCAGCCUCAAACUCCUGGUCUUAAGUGAUCCUCCUGCCUCAGCCUCCUGAGUAAAAGUACAUACCACUAUACCUGGGGAAUUUUUAUUUUUAUUUUUAGAGAUGCAGUCUCAUUGUGUUGCCCAGGCUAAUCUUGAACUCCUGGCCUCUAGUGAUUCUCCUGCCUUGGGCUCCUAAACUGUGAGAUUACAGAUGUGAGCUACUGUGUAAAGUCUUUUGGAUUUUUCUUGACUGAGAGCCUAAAUCACUCCUUCAAUCUAAUAAUUUUCAUUGGUGUGUUCACAUUUUCUACUUCUUCUUUCUUCAAUUUUGAUGGGUUAUAUGUGUCCAGAGCAUACGUAUUUCUUCUAAGUUUUUCAAUUUAUUGACAUAUAAUUGUUUGUAGUACUUACGAUUCCUUAUAUUUCUCUAGAGUCUAUCAUAGUAUAUCCUUUUUCAUCUCUGAUUUUAUGUGAAUUUUCUCUUUUUUUCUUAGUCUGAC
rnacentral:lncRNA from 10 species